UGGUUCUUGUCCUCGGUAAGCAUGAGUUCUUUACCUCUUGAUAGUAUUACAUAGCUGAACCCUUUUGAUAUCUGGGUUUUGUUAAUGACCUUUCACUAUUAAUCUCAGGUGUGAUUGUUUUUAAAGUAAACAUACAUUUGUUCUGUUUCUGCUGUAUUGGAUAAAGACAUUAUAACUGAUGCCAGUUUAUUUAAUCUGGAACUAGAUGUGAGGGAUUCACGUAGCUCAAAUAUCAAGGCUUCUUAUUGAAUUUCUGUUCCUAAUUCCUAUAUUAUUUGUGCCUUAA
rnacentral:misc_RNA from 1 species